rnacentral:rRNA from 1 species
CCCUUAGAUGUUCUGGGCCGCACGCGCGCUACACUGACUGACUCAACGAGUGUACAACCUGCUUCGACAGAAGUGGGUAAUCUUUUGAAAUUCAGUCGUGAUGGGGCUAGAUGAUUGUAAUUAUUCAUCUCCAACGAGGAAUCCCUAGUAAGCGUGUCUCAUCACGACGCGCUGAUUACGUCCCUGCCCUUUGUACACACCGCCCGUCGCUCCAACCGAUUGAGUGAUCCGGUGAGUUGUCCGGACCGCUACUUGUUCCUUUGCUGGUCUAGUAGUGGGAAGUUCUGCAAACCUUAUCACUUAGAGGAUGGAGAAGUCGUAACA